CUUACCAGAUUUUUCUUAUGAUAAGGAAGAUCCACCUAUGGCGGAGGGUACAAUAUAUAGUAGCAUGGAUGAGUUUAGAUUGGCAAUAGCUCAACAUGCAAUUAAACGUGAAUUUGAAUAUAAUAUUGAAAAGAGUGAUCCAGGGAGAUUCAGGGCCUUUUGCUCUGACGUGGAAUGCAACUGGAAACUUCAUGCCUCUAAGAUGGAUGAAGAUGGUAGCAUUAAGAUGGUGGUAAACAGGGAUCCUCAUUCAUGCUCAAGCACAAGAAGAUGAGAAAUCAUGAAACAUGCAACCUUAAAUUGGGUGGCUGACAAGGUAAAAAUUUGGCUCAUUGAAGAUUCUAGUUUGGGCCCCAUUGCAUUGCAAACAAAACUCUUUGAGAAGUAUCAUAUCAAAGUGCCGUACAAGAGGGUAUUUAAUGGGAAGGAGAGAGCAUUUAGGGAGUUAUAUGGCUGCUGGGAAGAAAGUUUUGACAAGCUGUACAAU